AUAAGCACACAUGGACUGUUUUAUUUAAUUUUGCAUAUGGUUUUGAGUACCGCAAUAAGACGCACUAUUUGGAUAGUGUUUUUUUGGACUUUCACUGAGGUCACCAGUGUGUGUGCUAUAUUAGCACAGUGAUUGCAUAUGGUCAAAUCGAGAUAUUUUUUGUUAUAAUUGUUUAGACAUUAGAGUGUAUCAUAUACACAUUUCCCACAUAUACCAUUUGGGAUCACGUUAUAUAAAUCUUCCC